AUUGAACGCUGGCGGCAGGCCUAACACAUGCAAGUCGAGCGGAGCGGCGGACGGGUGAGUAAUGCCUAGGAAUCUGCCUGGUAGUGGGGGAUAACGUCCGGAAACGGGCGCUAAUACCGCAUACUAUCAGAUGAGCCUAGGUCGGAUUAGCUAGUGGGGGGGGUAAAGGCCUACCAAGGCGCCGAUCCGUAACUGGACUGAGAGGAUGAUCAGUCACACUGGAACUUGGACCCGGUCCAGACGCCUGCGGGAGGCAGCGUGGGGGAAUAUUGGACAAUGGGCGAAAUCCUGAUCCAGCCAUGCCGCGUGUGUGAAGAAGGUCUUCGGGUUGUAAAGUACUUUCAGCGGGGAGGCGUUACCCGCAGAAGAAGCACCGGCUAACUCCGUGCCAGCAGCCGCGGUAAUUC
rnacentral:rRNA from 1 species